GAUGAAGAACGUAGCGAAAUGCGAUACGUAAUGUGAAUUGCAAAUUCAGUGAAUCAUCGAGUCUUUGAACGCACAUUGCGCCCCCUGGUAUUCCGGGGGGCAUGCCUGUCCGAGCGUCAUUGCUGCCCUCAAGCACGGCUUGUGUGUUGGGCCCCGUCCUCCGAUCCCGGGGGACGGGCCCGAAAGGCAGCGGCGGCACCGCGUCCGGUCCUCGAGCGUAUGGGGCUUUGUCACCCGCUCUGUAGGCCCGGCCGGCGCUUGCCGAUCAACCCAAAUUUUUUAUCCAGGUUGACCUCGGAUCAGGUAGGGAUACCCGCUGAACUUAAGCAUAUCAAUAGCGGAGGA
rnacentral:misc_RNA from 1 species